rnacentral:rRNA from 1 species
GACAGAGGUGCCGAGCGUUAGGCGGAAUCACUGGGCUUAAAGCGUGUGUAGGCGGACUCGUAAGUGCUUUGUGAAAUCCCACGGCUCACCCGUGGAACUGCUUGGCAUACUGCGAGCCUUGAGCCACUUAGGGGCAACCGGAACAAACGGUGGAGCGGUGAAAUGCGUAGAUAUCAGGAGGAACACCAAUUGCGAAGGCAGCUCGCUGGGACGUAACUGACGCUGAGACGCGAAAGCGUGGGGAGCAAACAGG